GUAGGUGGCAAGCGUUGUCCGGAAUUAUUGGGCGUAAAGCGCGCGCAGGUGGUUCUUUAAGUCUGAUGUGCAAGCCCCCGGCUCAACCGGGGAGGGUCAUUGGAAACUGGGGAACUUGAGUGCAGGAGAGGAAAGUGGAAUUCCACGUGUAGCGGUGAAAUGCGUAGAUAUGUGGAGGAACACCAGUGGCGAAGGCGACUUUCUGGCCUGUAACUGACACUGAGGCGCGAAAGCGUGGGGAGCAAACAGGGAUUAGAUACCCUGGUAGUCCACGCCGUAAACGAUGAGUGCUAAGUGUUGGGGGGGUUUCCCGCCCCUCAGUGCUGCAGCUAACGCAUUAAGCACUCCGCCCCGGGGAGUACGGUCGCAAGACUG
rnacentral:rRNA from 1 species